CGAGUGCCAACGUGGGCCGGUACAAUUACUUUGAACAAAUUAGAGUGCUUAAAGCAGGCUAAAUUUAAUGAAAGUUAAAACGCCUGAAUAUAUUUUGCAUGGAAUAAUGGAAUAGGACCUCUGUUCUACUUUCAUUGGUUUUUAGACCAAGAGGUAAUGAUUAAUAGAAGCAGUUGGGGGCAUUAGUAUUACGAGGCGAGAGGUGAAA
rnacentral:rRNA from 15 species